AGACUCAUCCAUAUCAAGCUUUCUAUGGAACAACAAACCUGCAAGAAUUAAAUUCUGACCAAGUCCAUCUUUGGUACUAAGCUGCACACAUUAAGAUGAACAUAUUAAACACCAGACAAUGAUUUGAAAUCAGAGGGAGUCUGGGAAUAUUACAGCUCAGGGCCAGGAUGUGGCUGCACAUUUCCUGACAAAAGCAGAAGUAAGACCAUCAGCGUUCUCCUUUUCACAUUUGAUUUUUCCUCAUUGCUUCGACAUGGCAAAGUAAGACAGAGCUCUCCACUGAGUGAACAAGUGACAUCAUUCUACAGAGCAAGGAUACACUGAAGUUUAAGCAGGUCUCUGGGCAAAGCAGGUAUCAAGUUUAUACCAGAAUCAAACAGUCAGUGGCUGUUCUGAACUCAGAAAAGCUACAGAGCAUGUGCACUGGUAGCAAAUACCUUUCAGAUCAAGGUGAUUUUCAGUUCUCCUGCUAUAGGCCCAGAAACAACUGCCCAUCCCAUGAUCCCAAAAGGCCGAUAGGCACAUAAAUGAAAAAGUAAUGCCAUCAUCCACAAAUAUAAACACUUACCAGAAGUGAAGAGCACAGACCUCAGAAUGAAAACAAACUUCACAGGUGGAUGUUGUAGGCUCAGGCCUGUUAGCUCCAGGAGGACGCAGUCGUCAAAUUCCAACAGCAUUCAUAAAUCCACGAGUAUACAAUCCAUAAAAUAUUGACUGCCGAGUAUAAAAAGAUAAAAUAAAAAAAGAUGCAAUAAAACAUUUUAAAAACGGCAAAAACAGACAGACACUUCACAGACAAAAGAACAUGCUGCCAUCUUGAUCUUCAAUGCUUUUGGGCUCAGAAUCUAGAGUCCUGGUUUCACAGCGGAGAGGAUUGUAAUCGGCAGCAAAUGAUCCAAAAGUCGUCUAUAUAGUAUGUGUUUUGGGUAUUAAAGUGAGAAGGCCUCGUUUCAUGGGGGGCAGACGUUGCUGACCUUUACUACCUUCCAGAAUGUCUUGGAACAGGAAACUUCUGAUCUCCUUCCCUGUGAGCCCAUCAGUACCGGGAGCUUCAUUGGAUGGAAGCUUCCUGACAGCAGCUUCUAGUUCUUCAAUGUCUAAGUUUGCAGCAGAAUUCCUUCAACCAAUUAUCUACUGUAGGUAUGAAAUUUGAAACCUGGUUUAGUCCAAAGGGGAUCAGCUAAUGUGUCUAGAUUACUAUCAAACAUAUAAACUUCCUUUUCAAUCAUUUUGCUAUCUUUACUCUCUUUCUUGGAUUAACAAACUCACUUUGUCUUCUUAUUUUCUAGGCUGUGUUUUCUCUUUUUCUCUUCUUGAUCUCAUGAAAGCUCCUUGAGCGUUUUUCCUGUAAGAACAAACGUUUUCUUUGUCUUCAGAUGAGUUACUGCAGCAUUGACUGAUUUCAUAAAACAGAUUCUUUUCCUCUUUUUAGUUUUUCUUUACAUGAUUUUUUUUACUAGUUUUAAUAGAAAAUUCUCUAAUUUAGUUUUGACAUAUUACCACUUCUUGAAAAAACUCUAAAUGUUUUUUUUCCCCCAUCAAUUUGAAUACCUGAAAUUAUUUUUUAAUUGAAGAUGUGAAACUGGAGGGGCUUUGCAGAAUCCAAGCGCGGACACAAAAAUAGUGGUGAACUGGGUUUUAUUCUUAUGGUGAAGAGGGGAUAAAUGGAGGGGAGGAGAACAGGCCGUCAGGUGAGCAGACUGGCAGGGAGGCAAAUACACGGGCUGGCAGAAUCUCACUCAUGAGGCACAAUAAUCUGGCGUUUGCCGACGGCUCCAUCUCUGAAUAAAUAAUCUCUAUAAUGAGCUGCAGGUGACGAGAUGAUGAUGAGCAGGUGUGGAGUAGUCACUGUGGAGGCACGGCCACGGAACCACAACAGAAGAACAAUACUUGAAACUUCCAGUAACCUUUCUUUCUCGUUGUUUUUGUGAUCAGUCAUUGGAGCUUUAGAAAUGGAAGUUUUAGAGGUGAAUCUAGUGUUAGGAUUAUGGUCUCCUCCCACUCCUACCGGGGAAGCAUCGCUUCACCUGUUACCCAUCUCCUCAUCAGUCUUCAGGCUAUUUAUGGACUAUUCACCCUCUGGCCGAUGUCAGUCUGUCUGCUCUCAGCGGAAUUGCCACCAGCUUCAUCUUCACCAUUGUUUACGACUGCCGUCCAUGAUCAGGACACCAAGCAAGGCUUCACACGAUUUCACAGUCGUCACAACCCCCACCAGACCAGCAGCUCUUCAUUCCAUCAGACGUCCACCACUCUCCACCACCACUGGGACAAAAUAAAGACUUUAAUUCAUUCAC